CUUUUCUAUAGGGAGUCGGGACCUGCUCGGUGAAUUGUUUUAACAGCCGCGGUACUCUGACCGUGCAAAGGUAGCAUAAUCAUUUGCCUUAUAAUUGAAGGCUAGUAUGAAUGGUUUGACGAGAAUUAAGCUGUCUCUUUUUAAAUAGAUAUAAUUUUAUAUAUAGGUGAAGAAGCCUAUAUUUUAUUGAAAGACAAGAAGACCCUAUCGAGCUUUAAAGAAUUUAAUGGACUUAUCAUAUAUUUAUUAAAAAAGUAAGGCCAUUGAAAAUUUUGGUUGGGGCGACUGAGGAACAAAGAAAGCUUCCUUUUAUUUUAGAAAUCUACUAGUAUUGAUCCAAUAAAUUUGAUUAAAGGAAUUAGUUACCGUAGGGAUAACAGCAUAAUCUUCUUUGAGAGUUCCCAUCGAAAAGGAGGUUUGUGACCUCGAUGUUGGACCAGAAUACCCAGAAGAUGCAGCCGUCUUCAAUGGUUGGUCUGUUCGACCAUUAAAAUUCUACGUGAUCUGAGUUCAGACCGGA
rnacentral:rRNA from 1 species